rnacentral:rRNA from 1 species
GGGCCCGCACAAGCGGUGGAGUAUGUGGUUUAAUUCGAUGCAACGCGAAGAACCUUACCAGGGUUUGACAUCCUGCGAAUCUCUUGGAAACAGGAGAGUGCCUUUGGGAACGCAGUGACAGGUGGUGCAUGGCUGUCGUCAGCUCGUGUCGUGAGAUGUUGGGUUAAGUCCCGCAACGAGCGCAACCCACGUCGUUAGUUGCCAGCGAUUCGGUCGGGGACUCUAGAGAGACUGCCUGCGCAAGCAGAGAGGAAGGCGGGACGACGUCAAAUCAUCAUGGCCUUAUGCCCAGGGCUACACACGUGCUACAAUGGUAAGGACAAAGGGCAGCGAGCGGCGACGGUCAGCGAAUCCCCAAAAACCCUUAUC